GUUUAAUAAACAAUCAAUUAAAUUUAAUACUUUGAAGUAAAAAUACCUUAGAGUAGGGAGCCUGCAACAGAAAUGACCAAGUGGGAAGUUCAGUUAAAAAAAUUCUUGUGAAUCAAUAUAUAUUUUUGCCUUUGCAGAUUACCUCUACAUAAAAUUAUAUGACAUGCUACUUGGACCAAGAAAUUUGUACAGCUGGACAUUUAUUUAAGCAACAACAAAAGAAGGUUUCGGAGAUUGAAAGCAAAUCAUCAGGUGACUCAUGUACAGAGGAUGAUGAUGAUGAUUUUGAUGAUGGCCAUGUGAGUCAAAGUUCCUGUGACAGGAAUAUAGAGCAGGAAUUGACUGAUACAGACACAGGGAAUAAAGACCUCCUUUAUCCAGAUGACAAAGAAAACAGCAAUGUGAGUACAU
rnacentral:lncRNA from 1 species